AGUAAUUCCAGUUGCCUUCGGAUCUAAAUGCCCACACAGAUAAACCAAGCCUGGAUUCAAAGAGAAUCUGUUUAAUGCAAUGUAGUGUCCUGGACUGUAUCCUGAACAGAACAAAGAUACUAAUGAAAAACCUGGGGAAAUCCAAAUAAAAUCUGAAGUUUAGUUAAUAAUUCACAAUGAUGUUAGCUUCUUAGUGGUGAUAAACAUGCUACGGCAACAUAAGAUGCUUUCAUUUCAGGAAACCGGGCAGCUCUUUUCCCUCUGCACAGGGACCAGCAAUACUGAGAAGAUGCUGCUCAUCAGCCCAUGUCCCCAAGCAGUCACAACAAGCACAGUUCCCUGCUGAAGCACAGCACCUCUGCAAAAAAGAAUUACGAAGAACAGACUGAAUUACCUCUGAAGAAAAAAUGAAAAGACACUGCGCAAGAUUUUAAUAAAGAGAGGAAAGCAUCCAAAAAGGGCUUUCUCUGGACUGUCAUAGGACUUGAAAAUGAUCAUUCCCCACUCCCCAGCAAGACACAAGCAGGGGGAAUCUUUCUAAAGAGAAACUCUAACAUUUAUCCCAAGGCAGAAAAGAUGAUCACCACGGCACCAAACCUCCUCCGCUGCUCUGACAAAUACAGAGCCAGCCUCAU
rnacentral:lncRNA from 1 species